AAUAGAUACCCGGGUAGUCCACGCCGUAAACGAUGAGUGCUAAGUGUUGGAGGGUAUCCACCCUUCAGUGCUGCAGCUAACGCAUUAAGCACUCCGCCUGGGGAGUACGGUCGCAAGACUGAAACUCAAAGGGAUUGACGGGGGCCCGCACAAGCGGUGGAGCAUGUGGUUUAAUUCGAAGCAACGCGAAGAACCUUACCAGGUCUUGACAUCCUCUGCCAAUCCUAGAGAUAGGACGUUCCCCUUCGGGGGACAGAGUGACAGGUGGUGCAUGGUUGUCGUCAGCUCGUGUCGUGAGAUGUUGGGUUAAGUCCCGCAACGAGCGCAACCCUUGUCCUUAGUUGCCAGCAUUGAGUUGGGCACUCUAAGGAGACUGCCGGCUAAAAGUCGGAGGAAGGUGGGGAUGACGUCAAAUCAUCAUGCCCUUUAUGACCUGGGCUACACACGUGCUACAAUGGAUGGUACAAAGGGUCGCGAAACCGCGAGGUGGAGCCAAUCCCAAAAAGCCAUUCUCAGUUCGGAUUGUUCU
rnacentral:rRNA from 1 species